UACGAAUUUGUUACAAUAAAAAAUAACUAUAACUAAAAUCCAAAGCCAAGAGAAAUGUCAACACUAAUCGAAGGAAAACCCGAAAAACACAUUUUCGAAGGAGAUAUCUGAAUACCACUACUGUAUAUCCGAUAUCAUUCCAUAACAGAGUCGGGUAUGAAGUAUCCUGAUAAUAUCCCCACGUCUGUUACAUACGUGAGAUGGUGGGGUGCUGGAGUACAGCCGGUGCUCUCCAAUGUAAAUGGUAAUAAUGCCAUAAUACCCGAGUACAGCGAACCAUUCGCUAUUAUCACGAGUGGGUUCUAACUGAAGCCGAUCACGUCUGGGCCAUUUGAUCGGAUAGAAAAUGUACAGGGGAAUAAAAACCAAUUGAACGACAAUAAAAAUUGAUUCGGCAGUUCAAGAGACGGUUUGCGGCUGAUGAAUUAAACGGACUCAUUUGAGAGAAUUGGGUAGGGCCCAAACCUGGCUCAUUACAAUUUUUACAAUUGUAAAUGAAAUUGCUAAACUAUUCUCGAUCCCUUACUAUUCUGACUUCAUCUCAAAGAUCGUUUUGCACUACUGCUCUCCUCAACCAGAAGAUGACUUUUACUGCAUCUUGACAUCAUAUAUGGCUUCGUAGACGAAGGAAGCUGAAGACGACAGCCGUUUUCAUUUACUUGGCAGUACCUCAUGUUAACGAUUUCGAAUUUUCCAUGUUUUCCAUCCAACAAUGCGACGAAUAAAAAAUAUCGUCGUCGUACCUCUUCUCUCUACCAAUUUUAUACCUUUCCAUAAUGGCUUCCCAUUGAAGGUUGUCUACAGGUAGUCGGUAUGGAACAAGAAAUACCCGGUGGUAAAACUCGUUACGGAAAUUUCUACCUCUCAAUUCGUAUAUAAAACUCUCUAUAAAAUUGAAAACUCAAAAAAACCCCUGGAGGAGCCAUUACAAUGAGUUUUAUAUUACGGCUUGUUAUCGAGUGCCUCUAUUGUCUGAAGUACGAUAUUUCCUUUAUUAUCAGUAGUCAGUUUCGAGUUUCUAUUUCGUGGUCUGUUGAAUGAUAGAAAAAAAAAUU